rnacentral:tRNA from 1 species
GUAGUCGUGGCCGAGUGGCUAAGGCGAUGGACUAGAAAUCCAUUGGGGUCUCCCCGUACAGGUUCGAAUCCUGUCGACUGCG